rnacentral:tRNA from 1 species
AGCUGCCGCAGGCUGCGAUCUGUUGAUCUUGAAAAUCAACAGCAAAAGAUCGCAGCCUUCGGCAGCUCC